UAAUACGUAGGGUGCAAGCGUUGUCCGGAAUCAUUGGGCGUAAAGCGCGCGUAGGCGGCCCGAUAAGUCCGCUGUAAAAGUCAACGGCUCAACUGUUGAAAGCCGGUGGAUACUGUCGGGCUAGAGUACGGAAGAGGCAAGUGGAAUUCCUGGUGUAGCGGUGGAAUGCGCAGAUAUCAGGAGGAACACCUAUAGCGAAGGCAGCUUGCUGGGACGUUACUGACGCUAAGGCGCGAAAGCGUGGGGAGCGAACAGGAUUAGAUACCCUGGUAGUCCACGCCGUAAACGAUGAGAACUAGGUGUGGGAGGUGUCGACUCCUCCCGUGCCGUCGCUAACGCAUUAAGUUCUCCGCCUGGGGAGUACGGCCGCAAGGCUA
rnacentral:rRNA from 1 species